AGAUCUGCCUUCUUUGACAGACAGAGGGCUUUGAAACUCAAAUGGGGCAAGGAAAGAGACAGAGAGUGGGUGUUUGUGAAAAGCCAGGAACCACGGGCACACUGGCCCCACGCUGGCGGGAUUGCUUCUACAGGAUCUGCAAAAGUAUUGCUGUAAGGAUGGAGAGAGAGAGGCAUUCUUAAAGCACUGAUGAAACGCAGAGAAUUGUGGCUGGUUGUUAGAAUAUACUGCGGAGACGGAUGAAACAAAAUCGGCAAAAUGCUGAUCACUGUAGACGCUGGGAGAUGGGUACGGCACAAGGAGAGUCACUAAGCUCUUCCCUCUAGUUUUGUGUAUGUUUAAAAUUUUCCCAACUAAUAUUUUUCUUUUUUAAAAGUUUUAUUUGUAAUUGACAAAUAAUAAUUUUACUGUAUAUAUUUAUGGGGUAGAGUGUGUUGUUUCAAUACAUGUAUUCAUUGUGGAAUGAUCAAAUUAGGGUACUUAGCAUAUCCAUCACCUCAAAUAUUUAUAAUUUCUCUGUGGUUAGCACAUGUAAAAUUCUUUUAGCUAUUUUGAAAUGUACAAUACAUUAUUAUUAGCUACAGUCACUUUACUCUGCAACAGAUCACCAGGACAUAUUCUUCCUACGUCACUGAAACUCUGCCCCCAUUUGCCAACAUCCCCUUUCCCCAACCAUCUCUCCCCCCGACCCACACUCCCAGGCCUCUGGUAAACACCAUUCUACUCCCAACUGUAUGAGUUCAACUUUUUUAGAUUCCAUAUAUUACUCACUAAUUUUUAAAAAGAGAUAUACGUCAAACCACAAAGUAUGUGAGUUUUGUGUGUGUGUAUGUGUGUGAGUGUGUGUGUAUGUGUACACCCACACCCAAGAAAAAGGACCAUCUGUGGGGAAGAGACAGAGUUGUCUGCAUAGUAAUUGCCUGUCAGUAAGGAUCCCUCUGUGCGGAGCCCAUUCAACUUCCUCCAGUGCCUCCAGCGCCCUCCCAGGACCUCUGGCUGGGUACUUGGCUGAUGGGAUGACCAUUUGUCCAUUCACCUGCUGUAUGGCACCUUGAGCCAGUGGGGUGUGGGGACUGGAGUGUGAUGUGGUGACGUCAGUCCUCGGCACCCAGCACAUUUUUGAUUAAAUCAGCAAUGCACCCUGCCAACCCCUCGACCCCUCUGCUACCUUUGCCACACUCAGGUCUCCCUCCAGCCAGCCCAUCAGGAAGCUUCCAGAACCUCCUGUUUUGUGGCUGCUUUCCCAGUUAUCCACAGCCAGCCAGCCCCAAGCCGGGCAGAGUGGACUGGAGGAGACUAGCAUCUGAUUUAGGUUUCUCCAUGGGUUCUCAGGGUCCAGGGAUAGUCUCAGGACCCUGACCGUAACAGCAGGAGCAGGUCGUCUACUUGUCAGCAGGUUUUGACAGCAGCAGGCAGGGCAGGCCCCAUGAUACUGGUUCUCCUAUUUCUUCCCCACACGGACAAAAGGAACACAAAAUUUUCCCCCAAACUUCUCUAGGACCUAAGGGUAACCCACGGGGGUCCCUCAUCACCCACUCCCAGAAAGUAGCAUCAGACUCUCUCCUUCCUUUGCCCACUCCCUCUAUCACCGCCUCCACCAGGCCACACUGGGGAGAAAGAGUGGAUGGGAGGGAAGAGGGAAGACUGAAGAGGAAGGAGGGGAAGGGGAAGCUGUGUGUGAUUCUUGUGUGAACCGAGAGACACCGACCACAGCCCACACCCACCAUAGGGCCCCACUUUGGGUCCCAGGAUCCAUCUCAAGCCAUGGGGGCAGUUCUCACCAGUCUCAGUUCCUCUUGGUGAGGGGAUGGUCAAGAAUGGCACAGGUCAUCGGCCUCAAGGGAAGCAGACAGCUCCCUCCCUCAGGCCACCACCCUGGAGCUCUGGAAAAAGAAUGGCCAGGACACCAUCAUCUCUUCCCAACUCCUCACCCCUGCACUUCCCAAGUUGUCACAAAUCCAAAUGCCUUCUGAAGGCUCUCGCUGAGUGCCAGGGAAGCAAAGAAAGAAACUACUCCCCACCCAUUGUCUCCAAAUAGGCAACAACAAAUAGAUGCAACAUUCACAUCUUCAAAUUCAAUCUGUCUAGGGGGUUCUCACUCUCCGGCCCUGCCUCCCUGGUCCAGGUGUGUGUGGUAUGUGUACAGUCCAGGGGAACGCACGGCCCUGGGCUCAGACCCUGGCUGCUCCACUUAACAAAUUCCUUCAUCUUUCUGUGCCUCGGUGUUCUCAUCUAAAAAAAAAAAAGG